rnacentral:rRNA from 1 species
CUACGGGUGGCAGCAGUGAGGAAUUUUGCGCAAUGGGGGCAACCCUGACGCAGCAACGCCGCGUGAGUGAAGAAGGCCUUUGGGUCGUAAAGCUCUGUCAAUGGGGAAGAAGUUACUUGGUAUUAAUAGUGCCUUGUAUUGACGGUACCCAUGAAGGAAGCACCGGCUAACUCCGUGCCAGCAGCCGCGGUAAUAUGGGGGGUGCAAGCGUUAUUCGGAAUUAUUGGGCGUAAAGGGCACGCAGGCGGUCCUGUCAGUCAGAUGUGAAAGCCCAGGGCUCAACCCUGGACGUGCAUUUGAAACAGCAGGACUUGAGUACGGGAGAGGAAAGGGGAAUUCCUGGUGUAGAGGUGAAAUUCGUAGAUAUCAGGAGGAACACCGGUGGCGAAGGCGCCUUUCUGGACCGAUACUGACGCUGAGGUGCGAAGGCGUGGGUAGCGAACGGGAUUAGAUACCCCCGUAGUC